UACAGAGGUGGCAAGCGUUGUUCGGAAUUACUGGGCGUAAAGGGCGCGUAGGUGGCCUUCUUAGUCAGACGUGAAAUCCCCAGGCUUAACCUGGGAACUGCGUCUGAUACUGGAUGGCUUGAGUUCGGGAGAGGGAUGCGGAAUUCCAGGUGUAGCGGUGAAAUGCGUAGAUAUCUGGAGGAACACCGGUGGCGAAGGCGGCAUCCUGGACCGACACUGACGCUGAGGAGCGAAAGCCAGGGGAGCAAACGGG
rnacentral:rRNA from 1 species